rnacentral:lncRNA from 1 species
CAAUCUUGAUAUUCCUUUUCUAUAUAUACCCAAGAUCUUUGUAGAGUAUGGUGAUUGAGUUUCCGUUAACUGAGUUUUGUUGGUAUUGUUUCGGUGGGUGAUUGAGUUUUGUUGAAAUUGCUAUGUUAUUGAUUUUUUUUAAGUAUUGUUUCGGGCACACACUUCUUGAUCAAGUCUAAGGUUUGUCGAAUUAUUUGAUGUUUGCGAUCCAUCUUUUGUCAGAUUGAAGAACGCAAAACCUAUUAGUAAGUUCAUUUACGCUCUGAUUGGAUUGAAGAACGCAAUAAGUAUAUUCAUUUACUCUUCUGUUGGAUUCUUCUGUUGGAUUGAAGAACGCAAGAAUGAUUAGUAAAUUCAUUUACACCAAUUCCGAAUGUGAUUCUUUAUGUGAUGAAGGUGAGUUUUGAAUCUUUUAAUCAAAUUCCUUUAUCCCUUUUCUGCUGGUGGCUGGGUCUUGAGAUUUGUUUUGUCCAUGGAUGAAAUGAAAAACAUAAUAGUUUGGAAAGGCCAAUUGAUCCAAGUCUUCUUAUAGUCUUUAUCUGCAUCUUCAUCUUCGUAACGUUUCUAAACUUCUUCCUUUUAUUAUGAGCUUAGUUCGUUUUCUUGAAUUUUUGCCUGCACAGGAUAGUUCAUUUUCUUGAAUUUUUGGCUGUAGGACAUGAUGUGAAGUAUUAUGUUUUUGGCUGCAGGAUAGCUCUAUUUACUUCUUUUGGGUUGGGGUCUCACGAUUUGUGAUAGGAUAUGGAAGCAGUACUGUAUCUUAUUGUUAACAAUAUUUCUUAAUCUUAGUCCUUGCUGAUUUUGCUCUUUAUUAUUUAAUGUUUUUGGAUUUACCUAACUGUGAACUUGUUUCUCUACAAUAGUAUUUCAAAGUGUUUUUUGUAAUCUUCGUGCCCUUGGUUUUAAAUAUGUGGCUUCCCUUGAUUUUUGGAUUUAUGAAUUUACCUUAUUGUUUCUUUACUUUGUCAUGUCAUCUUUUUUAGAAGAUUAGUUUUCUCAAAUCACCAUGUAUCUUCUUGAGCUUUUACAUGAGCAUCAGGUUUUGGAAACAGUGGAUGGAGAUAGAGUUAAACUUUAGGUUUUAUUAUCUUUGCAUUCAUUAUGCUGAUAAAAAAAAUCUUUGCAUUCAUUAUUUUCUUUGUUAUUGGACUUACUCUGUAGUUUUAUUAUGUUUCCAUCCACUAUUUUUCUUAUGUGCUCGAUUUGGAAUGUCUACAAUCUCUUUUAUUGGUUGGAUAGUUGUAAGGUACCUGUAUUUGUCAUUGUCUAAGCAAGAGCUAUAAACCUCUCUUCAUGAGAGGCAUUAUAAACCUCUAUGUCAGCGAUUUUAUUUCCUCUUUCUAUUCCACACUCAGACAUUUCUCUCAGCAAUGAAGUCAUUUAAUCACAGCCUUUCGUUUCGUUUCCUUUCAUUUCCUUUGUUGUCAAAACAACCUUUGGGUCUUUCUUGCUUCUUGACUAUGGUAUUUAGUUUCACUAUGUUCUCAGGACGUGUUAUUUGGAAGUGAUGUGGUUAUUUAUUCGAGGAUCGAGUUCCAUUCCUUUAGACUUGCAUUUGUUUGUGUUCAUUGCUAUCAAACAACUUUCUUCUUUUUAAGUUUAUAGAGCCCUUUAUUUUUUAAUGAAACCCACUAAAUGUUAUUUAUUUAUUUUUCUUUCUUUUUCAUCAUUUCCUACUUAUUUGUGUUUCUAAUAGGCUUGGGAUGCGUUUUGGGUUUAUAAGAGUAUUAGAGGCACUUGAAUUUGGGGAGGAUUUGUCUUUUACUAUGUGGUUGGUUGUUGAAGCAGUGGCUGUUUUGGGAAUUUUGGUGAUCUUGUACUCCUUACUGAAACGAGACCUCAUCUUAUUGAGUGCUAUAUUUCUCAAUUUUGAGACUCAUUUUAUUGAUUGCUAUAUUUCUCAAUUUUAAUCCCUUGUUGAUCUUGUAUUUUGGGACAGCUAACAUCUUUGCACACUGAAGAUUAAUUUACUCAAUGAUCGAGAAACAAAUUGUAUGUAUUUUAUAUUUAGUGUGCAGUAUAGUGCUAGAACUGUGUGUGAACAGCUCAUGUAACGUACAUGAUCUGGUGAUGUAUCUCUGAUUUUGGGAUCUGUAUUUUUUUCUAUUCAAUUUAUAUUGAGUGUUUAGCGGUUUUCAUGAUACGGUAGUUUUUUCUAUAUGAUAAGUACAUCCAGUUUUAAUUGGAUAUGAUGACAGAGAUCUAUCAUAUGUAACUGUUUAUCUGCUUGUGUUAGUUCCUUUUCAGCAGGAUCCCAGUUGAUGAUUAAAAAACAUAAAGUUCUUGUUUGAUUAUUGAAAUCUAUCCAAUUUAUCUGUUAGAUCUGUGAUUAUGUUGAUUCCUUUCUAGCACAUUAAAGGUUAAUAAUAAUACAAUGCUCAGUGAAGAUGUCUUCCUUUUAUUUGAAACACUUGCCAGGGGAUCUGUGAAGCUUUAGGUUUUGGUACCCUUACAUUUCUUAUAUCUUUAUUUGUGACUGACUAAACUUCUUGAGAAUGAGAAACAACAGUAUUAAAUAUUAAACAACAGUAUUAAAUUAAAAAGGUUUUUCUUACUACAAUUAGUUCUUUCUUCACCACUCCGAUAACUAAUUAAAUAUUUACUUUCAUUAGAAUGUAGAUUAUGUGAAUGAUAUAUUUUAAUGUUGGCUCAUAAAAUAUUUUUAUAGUAAUCAUUAAACAAAUGUUUGGUAUACACUCAUAUUUAUCAUACUUCCUUCAAGUAGAUCUUUAAUAAUUUUUUUUAUCUGAAUGGGUUACUGGAAUUAUUAAUUUUUUUAAAAAAAUAGAAUGAUUUUUCUUUUGUGAUUUUUAAUAGAAGCUUACAUCAGUUAUUAGGGGUCACUGAUAUGUUUUUUCACCCUAUAUUGUCUGGAAAUCUUUUCUAUGUUUUCUAAUUUGAACCAAAGGAUUCCUAAAUCUUUUCCUGAAAAACAUUAUUUUAUGUGCUUUCUUUAUUUAUUUAACCAGUCAUGAUAAAAAGCAAGCAAAGAGUGUAGUGAGCCUGUUUUAACUUUACAGUCAUGCAAUGUUUAUUAGUAGGUUCACAUUCAUAAAUACUUUGAUUUCAGGAAUUCACAAAAUUCAAUUACAAUUCCUAUUUCAGUAAGAUUUUUUUGGUCAAUAAGUUUUUUAACAUCUUUUGUCUUUUAGAAAUUUUUUAAACCAUUUUAUACAUACACUUUAUUAAAUAUAUAGUCCUACAGUGACACUAGUCCUGCUAAAUUAAAGAAAAUUCUAUUUUUGUGUGGAGGGUAAUCCUUAUUCUUAACUUCUUUUAAAAGGACGAAUGUAAAUUGCUGAUAUAUGACUUGUAUGCUUUCACAAUUGAUCUUUGUUUGGAACGAAAUUAUGAAACAACUUACCUUAACCUGCAAUUAAUUUAUAUUUGUUGUGUAACUAUUCACUCCAUAUCCUUCUUGAAGAUAUCUCUUUACUAAAAAUAGUAUAGUUGAUAUAGAGUUAAUUCAUAGUAAAGGUUAACCUUGAUCUCUUUCACCAUAUCAAUUUCAACAUGCAUCCUACCAUUUAAAUUUUCCAAUUUUAUUCUGAAAUUGGUAGGAUAGUGGCCUACCAUGGUGGUGACGGGUGACGAAGAAUUAGGGUUAGAUUCCGGAAAGGGAGCCUGAGAAACGGUACCACAUCCAAGAAAAGCAGCAGACACGCAAAUUGUCCAAUCAUGAUAUGGGGAGGUAGUGACAAUAAAUAACAAUAUCGGUUUCAUUGAGUUUGGUAAUUAGAAUUAGUACAAUCUAACACCCUUAACGAGGAUCGAUAUGAGGGCAAGUCUGGUGCUAGGAGCCACAGUAAUUCCUGCUUCAAUAGCGUAUAGUUAAGUUUUUGUAGUUAAAAAUCUCAUAGUUGGACCUUAUGUAUUUUUUUAAAUGUUUGAACAGUUGGUUUUGUCAUUGCAGGGAGGAGAUGGAUGGGUGGUUCUAGGUUUGGGAAACAUGGAUCAGGACCCUGUGGAAAUUUAGGUUUUAUUCUUUGCAUUUAUUAUUUUCUUUGCUGCUAUUAUUCAGGGAUAAACUUGUGGACUGAGAAUACUUACCUCUUCAUGAGAGGCACUAUAAACCUGUGUCAACGAUUUUAUUUUCUCUUUCUAUUCCACACUCAGAUAUUUUUCUCAGCAACGGAGUCAUUUAAUAACAGUGUUUCGUUUCGUUUCCUUUCAUUUCCUUUGUUGUCAAAACAACCUUUGUGUCUUUCUUACUUCUCGGCUAUGGUAUUUAGUUUCACUACGUUCUCAGGAUGUUUUAUUUGGAAGUGAUGUGGUUAUUUAUUUGUGGAUUGAGUUCCAUUCCUUUAGACUUGCAUUUGUUUGUGUUCAUUGCUAUCAAACAACUUUCUUCUUUUUAAGUUUAUAGAGCCCUUUAUUUUUUAAUGAAACCCACUAAAUGUUAUUUAUUUAUUUUUCUUUCUUUUUCAUCAUUUCCUACUUAUUUGUGUUUCUAAUAGGCUUGGGAUGCGUUUUGGGUUUAUAAGAGUAUUAGAGGCACUUGAAUUUGGGGAGGAUUUGUCUUUUACUAUGUGGUUGGUUGUUGAAUCAGUGGCUGUUUUGGGAAUUUUGGUGAUCUUGUACUCUUUACUGAUACGAGACCUCAUCUUAUUGAUUGCUAUAUUUCUCAAUUUUGAGACCUCAUUUUAUUGAUUGCUAUAUUUCUCAAUUUUAAUCCCAUACUGGUCUUGGAUUUUGGGACAGCUAAUAUCUUUGCACACUGAAGAUUAAUUUACUCGAUGAUCGAGAAACAAAUUGUAUGUAUUUUAUAUUUAUUGUGCAGUAUAGAGUUAGAACUGUGUGGGACAGCUCAUGUAACGAACAUGAUCUGGUGAUGUAUCUCUGAUUUUGGGAUCUGUAUUUUUUUCUAUUAAAUUUAUAGUUUAGCAGUUUUCAAGAUACGGUAGUUUUUAUAUGAUAAGUACAUCCAGUUUUAAUUGGAUACCCUUUAUUAGCAACAGUCCUUUUGGAAUAGGAUUUGUUUCGGCAUAAAUCUGAAAGUUCAACUUGAAACAGCAGCUCAUGAUAGUGUUUUCUCUCUCAACAAAACACUAACCCGACGCUUCAUGUGCAAGGAAUUUGAAGCGGCUAGGUGAGGCACUCAAGGGAUGUGUCUCGCCGGUCACGUGACCUGUUAUGUAAAAUGACUCUCGGCAACAGAUAUCUCAGCCCUUGCAUCAUCAAUGAAGACCGUAGCAAAAUGUGAUACUUAUGUGAAUUGCAAAAUUCCGUGAGCCAGCGAAAUGCGGAUUUGCUUAGCACUACCAUCUGCAUGAAGUUGAAAAUUAAACAAGAACUGCUCAAGAUAACCUAAUUUCUUAUGUGUUGAGCCGGAGUUAAUCACCAUACAUUAAUAUUUGAUUGUGAUUUGUUUGUCUGCAGCAGGGUUUUGUUUAGUUGUGUGAUGACCUGUGUCUUAUCGAGCCUUUUAUGAGCAACUAAGUCUCCACUGGUUUUUGAAUUCCUUAAGUUUAAAUAUAGUUCUUAAAUUUUUUAUGUCUAGGUGUUGAUUCGUUUGUGUUCUUUCCUUUUUAGCAUGUAAGACUGGUUGAGGAUUAAAAUCGCAAGUGUACACGAAAGACAUGCAACAGAUGUGAGGUAAGAUAUCUAAAUACCUGAAGGAGAUCCUUGAUACUUUAGACUGCGUUUUAUGUCUAGUUUCUUUCUUACUUCUCAGCUAUCGUAUUUAGUCUUGGGUUGUGUUAUUUGGAAGUGACGUGGUUAUUCAUUCGAGGAUUGAUUCCAUUCCCUUCUACUUGCAUUUGUUUGUGUUCAUUGCUAUCAAACAACUUUCUUACUUUUCCUACUUAUUUGUGUUUCUCAUAGGCUUGGGAUGCGUUCUGGGUUUAUAAGAGUAUUAGAGGCACUUGAAUUUGGGGAGAAUUUGACUUUUACUGUGGUUGGUUGUAAAAGCAGUGGCUGUCUUGUGAAUUUUGGAUAUGAUCUUAUACUCUUUACUGGUCUGAUCAUCUUAUUGAUUGCUAUAUUUCUCAAUUUUAAUCCCUUAAUGAUCUUCUUCAAUCUGAGAAGCUUGUUAAUUUGGUCUUAUAAUAUAAUUUUUCUGGACUUGAUCACCAAACAUAAAGGUUGCAUUGCCAACCUGUUUCUCUCCAUCAGUACUUGGAAUUGUUUCUUGUAACACCGUUUUGUAAUCUCUUAAGAUAGAUAUUAGUUUUCUUGAUUUAAUUCUCCAAGCUUUCUCUUGUCCUCUACAGGGAGAUAAUGGAUGUGUGUCAUAUGUUUGGGAAACAUGGAAAUCCUGAAACUUUAGAUUUUUUUUAUCUUUUGCAUUCAUUAUUUUUUUUUCUAAUUAUUCUUUGGAUAAUCUUGCAGAGUGGGAUUUCAUGCCUAAUUGUAACAGGCAAAAGAGUUUAAGCAGGAUUCCGGUUGAGGAUUAAAAAACAUAAAUUUGAAUAUAGUUCUUGUUUGAUUAAUGAAAUCUAUCAAAUCUAGCUGUUUGAUCUGUGAUUAUGUUGAUUCCUUUCCAGCACAUUAAAGGUUAAUAAUAAUACAAUGGUCAGUGAAGAUGUCUCCCUUUUAUUUGAAACUUUGUACAUUGAGCAUAUUUUUCGAGACUGAUAUGUGAGGUAGGAUGUUGAAACAGUAGCCAGGGAUCUGUGAAGCUUUAGGUUUUGUUACCCUAAUAUUUGUUAUGUCUUUAUUUGUGAAUGACUAAACUUCUUGUUUGGAUUCUAAGUUUUGGUUGGUUUCACUGCUAACCCUGUAGUGUGACUGGCAACAGGUUUAUAAAAUGUUAACUUCUCUUAAAUCAUUUCUUUCAGCUUUUGGGUCAUGUUUUUUUUUAAAUUCUUAGUGAUUUGAAUUUCUAACAACUUAUAUGAAGUACUGGAUCAAUAGUGAAAAAAAAGAUACGGAAAAAUAUCGUGGCCAUUAAUAGUUUGUGUUUGUUGUCCUGUUUCUCUGUUGUCAGUGAACUCUGCUUCUUUCUCUAUUGCCCCAUAUGCAUCUUUUUCCGCAUUUUUACUCUUUUCUUAUUAAAACUUGUACUUUUCUGAGUAAUUUAGGCUUCUCAUAGCUUUUGAGUCCUGGAUUCAUCGUGAAAUUUGACCUACAUGGUGGGUGCAAUUGAAAUUAUUGAAAAGAGAGAAUUGUUGAUCUUUAGUUUUAUAGUACUGAAUUAGUUUUGGAUUUGCUUAGGUGGAGCAAAUUUGAAAGGUCAUUUGCUUAGGUAUUACUUCAUUUACUAAAUUAUCAAGAGCAUCAAUUGAAAUUAUUGAAAAGAGAGAAUUGUUGAUCUUUAGUUUUAUAGUACUGAAUUAGUUUUGGAUUUGCUUAGGUGUUGCAAAUUUGAAAGGUCAUUUGCAUAGGUAUUACUUCAUUUACUAAAUUAUCAAGAGCAUUGGACAAUUUGAUUUUGUAUUGCAUUCUAUUGUUUUUAGUAGUUGUGGGUUACAUUCUGAAUAUGACUCACCCGCAUCCUUUAUCUGAUAGUAUCUCUCAUAUCUUCCAAUAUGGGAAUGAUCUCCAACAUGAGAGUUGUAUUUAGUUCUAUCUCCAAUAUGAGAAUGAGGAAAUGAAAAACAACAGUAUAUGAGAGCUUUAUUUAGUUAUAUAUUCAAUAUGAGAAUGAGAACCAACAGUGUUUGGAAUGUUUUUGUUCUAUUUAGUUCUAUCUCCAAUAUGAGAAUGACAAACAACAGUAUUUGGAAUGACCCUGAUGAUUUGAUUAUCUGUUGCAGUGAAGACUUACUAUGACUGUCUGUUACCCCCAGUUACGGUAGAUUAUUGGACUUAAUGUGAUGCUUUAGGUUUUAUUCCAUUUCCAUUCACUAUUUUUCUUAUGUCAUAUAUUUGGAAUGGUUGUAGUCUUUCUUAUUGGUUGAAUAGUAGGAAGGCACAUCUGAGAGUUGUGUGUGUCUAAGCAAGAGCGAUAGUUGAUCACCGAACAAUAUGAUCAUUGAAGUUAAGUUACCUUUAUAGAAGUUUUUUUUGUAUGAUAUACAAGUACAUCCAAUUUUAAUUGGAUAUCCUUUGUUAACAACAAUCCUUUUGGAAUAGGAUUUGUUUGAGCGCUAGUUUCGACAUGAAUGUGAAAGUUCAACUUGAAACGGCAGCUCAUGACAACUUAAUUUCUUAGGUUCCAGCUCUUAUUAGCUCUCAUUCGGAGUAUGUACAAGUUUGGAAAAAUAAAAAAAAUGCUCGUUUUAGUCUAGUUAUCUUUUUCCCUUAAUUGUUGUUUUGAUCGGUGUUUGUCAAAUGUUUUUGAAUAAUAUACUUGUAUUUUUUAUUGCUAUAUUUAUUUUUGCAUUGAAUUACAUAGAUGUUUUGUAAAUAUGAUAAUUGAUUAUAACAAAAUCGUAGUGGUUCUUAUAAAAUUAUUCAUGAUUGAUGUAUUGCCUUUAAUACUGAUUGUUGUUGGAAAACUAAUCUAGAAAUUCUUUCUUGGCAGAUGAUUCUCAUUAUUGUAGAUAUUCUAUAACAUUUAUUCUUUUAAUUGUAUAGUUAUUUACAAUAAAAUGGUUUUACUUUCUACAGUUAGUUCUUUUUUAUACACUCCGAUAACUAAUUAAAUAUUUACAUUCACUGGAAAGUAGACUAUGUGAAUGAUAUAUUUUAAUGUUGGUUCAUAAAUUUUUUUUUUUAUAGUAAUCAUUAAACAAAUGCUUGGUAUACACUCAUAUUUAUCAUAUUGCCUUUUAGUAGAAAGCUAUUUGUAUUGCUGUUGAACAAAUCUUAAAGUCCUUUAUUAGAUUAUUUCUAAUAAUUAUUUCAUCUGAAUGGGUUAUAGAAAUUUUUCAUUUUUUUCAAAAAUAGAAUGAUUUUUCGUUUGUGAUUUUUAAUCAUUUAUUAAGGGUCACAUAGAUAUGUUUUUUCAUUCUACAUUGUCUUGUCUGGAAUUCUUUUCUAUAUUGUCUAAUUUGAACCAAAGGAUUGCUAAAUCUUUUCCUCAAAAACAUUUUUUAUGUGUUUUCUUUAUUAAACCAAUUAAUUCCUUCCCUGUUGUGGUAAAAAGCAAAGUGCGUAGUGAUCCUGUUUUAACUCUACAUUCAUGCAAUAUUUAUUAGUAGGUUCACAUUAAGAGUUGAUACUUUGAUUUCAGUAAUUCACAAAAUUCAAUUACAAUUCCUAUUUCAGUAAGAUUUUUUGGUCAAUAAUUUUUUUUAACAUCUUUUGUCUUUUGGGAAUAUUUUAAACCAUUUUAUACAUAUACCUUGUUAAAUAUAUAGUCACACUAGUCUUGCUAAAUUAAAGAAAAUUCUAUAUCUAUAUGGAAGGUAAUCUUGAUUUUUAACUCCUUUCAAAAGCACGUGUGCAAAUUGCUUAUAUGUUAUAUGCUUUUACAAUUGAUCUUUGUUUGGAACGAAAUUAUAAAAUAACUUACCUUAACUUAUUAAUUUUAUAUUUGUUGUGCAAUUACUAUCCACUUCAUAUUUUUCUAACUUAAAGUUAUAUCUUAAUUAGUAGGUUCACAUAAGAGUUGAUACUUUGAUUUUUGGAAUUACAAUUCCUAUUUCAAUUUUCCAAAAUCAAGUAUUCUGGUUCAGUAUUGAAAUAGUUUCAUGAUAAUUAAUUUUAAAAAUAAAAAGUUUGUUUGAUUGAAUUUAAAAUUUCUCAUAAUAAUUGUUGGUGUAGUUUGUCUUCAUUCACUAAAACAAUCAGAUUUAUUCACCCUAGUAUUUCUUAUUAUUUUAUUGAUAAGUAAAUACAUUAUAAGUAAAGUAGGUCAUUUUCCUUCAAGCAAGAGAAAAGUUACCAGGUACCAUUCUUUUUUAGUGUCUCUUUCUCUUCAACAAAAGCCCUCCUAUUAUUAAUAUAACUAAUAUUGGUUAUGUUUCGAUAAUAAUAAUGGGUGUAUUUAGAGAACUUUUUAUCUUUAUUCGUAUUUUUUAGAAUUAACUAUAAAUAUAAGAGUGUGAAUAAUAAUGUUAUUUAUUUUAUUUUAAUAUUAAACAUAAUUAUAUGUAAAAAUGAUAUACUUAUAUAACAAAUAUAUAAAUGUAUUUGAUAAUAACUAUAAUAAAUGUGUUAUAUAUUUAUUAAUAUUAUACAUGUAUAUUAUAAAUGUGUUAUAAUUUGUAUUUUCGAUUGGGUCAAUCUUUCAGAAUGCAACUUUGAAAUGCUUGAAGAUCACAAUGAGAAGAGCUUCAUCUCUUGAUAAGACUCUGAUAAUUAAGUCAAUGAGUGCAUUAAAAAUAUAAGUGUAGUGUGUAUUAUAUGAAAUAAUGCUUACUUUGUUCGAGAUUACAAGAUUUUUUUAUAACAAUUGUCGAUCAUUUUUCAGGAAUCAGUACAUAAAUUGUCAUUAUAUUAUCAUUUUUUUUAUUUUUUUGCCA